rnacentral:rRNA from 1 species
GACGAACGCUGGCGGCGUGCCUAAUACAUGCAAGUUGAGCGCUGAAGGUUGGUACUUGUACCGACUGGAUGAGCAGCGAACGGGUGAGUAACGCGUGGGGAAUCUGCCUUUGAGCGGGGACAACAUUUGGAAACGAAUGCUAAUACCGCAUAAAAACUUUAAACACAAGUUUUAAGUUUGAAAGAUGCAAUUGCAACACUCAAAGAUGAUCCCGCGUUGUAUUAGCUAGUUGGUGAGGUAAAGGCUCACCAAGGCGAUGAUACAUAGCCGACCUGAGAGGGUGAUCGGCCACAUUGGGACUGAGACACGGCCCAAACUCCUACGGGAGGCAGCAGUAGGGAAUCUUCGGCAAUGGACGAAAGUCUGACCGAGCAACGCCGCGUGAGUGAAGAAGGUUUUCGGAUCGUAAAACUCUGUUGGUAGAGAAGAACGUUGGUGAGAGUGGAAAGCUCAUCAAGUGACGGUAACUACCCAGAAAGGGACGGCUAACUACGUG